rnacentral:rRNA from 1 species
AUUGAACGCUGGCGGCAUGCUUUACACAUGCAAGUCGAACGGUAACAGGCCGCAAGGUGCUGACGAGUGGCGAACGGGUGAGUAAUGCAUCGGAACGUGCCCAGUCGUGGGGGAUAACGCAGCGAAAGCUGCGCUAAUACCGCAUACGAUCUAUGGAUGAAAGCGGGGGACCGUAAGGCCUCGCGCGAUUGGAGCGGCCGAUGUCAGAUUAGGUAGUUGGUGGGGUAAAGGCUCACCAAGCCAACGAUCUGUAGCUGGUCUGAGAGGACGACCAGCCACACUGGGACUGAGACACGGCCCAGACUCCUACGGGAGGCAGCAGUGGGGAAUUUUGGACAAUGGGCGGCAAGCCUGAUCCAGCAAUGCCGCGUGCAGGAAGAAGGCC